GGGUUGUGAGGUUAAGCGACUAAGCGUACACGGUGGAUGCCCUGGCAGUCAGAGGCGAUGAAGGGCGUGCUAAUCUGCGAUAAGCGCCGGUAAGGUGAUAUGAACCGUUAUAACCGGCGAUACCCGAAUGGGGAAACCCAGUGUGACUCGUCACACUAUCAUUAACUGAAUCCAUAGGUUAAUGAGGCGAACCGGGGGAACUGAAACAUCUAAGUACCCCGAGGAAAAGAAAUCAACCGAGAUUCCCCCAGUAGCGGCGAGCGAACGGGGAGGAGCCCAGAGCCUGAAUCAGCAUGUGUGUUAGUGGAAGCGUCUGGAAAGGCGCGCGAUACAGGGUGACAGCCCCGUACACAAAAGCGCAUGUGCUGUGAGCUCGAUGAGUAGGGCGGGACACGUGGUAUCCUGUCUGAAUAUGGGGGGACCAUCCUCCAAGGCUAAAUACUCCUGACUGACCGAUAGUGAACCAGUACCGUGAGGGAAAGGCGAAAAGAACCCCGGCGAGGGGAGUGAAAAAGAACCUGAAACCGUGUACGUACAAGCAGUGGGAGCCCCACCACUAAGCCAGUGGUGAACUCCACAUACGCAUCCUUUGCUGAGGAUACGGUUAACGGAGCGAAAGCGACGUUCAACCUCAAAAGAAG
rnacentral:rRNA from 1 species